AAAAGAAGAAAUCAAAGAGGAUGAAGAUGAAGUGGUAGAAGAUGGCGAUAUUAUCCCUUCUCCAUUUUCGCCUCAGCUCUCUUCCAGUGAUGUCUUUUCUGAAGUUUCUAAUUAUCUCUCUCGUGUCCUUCGAAAGAGCCCUCUGUCUAAAAUAACAGUGGAGACAAAGCCAGAG
rnacentral:ribozyme from 13 species